rnacentral:rRNA from 1 species
AAAUUGAAGAGUUUGAUCAUGGCUCAGAUUGAACGCUGGCGGCAGGCCUAACACAUGCAAGUCGAACGGUAACAGGAAGCAGCUUGCUGCUUCGCUGACGAGUGGCGGACGGGUGAGUAAUGUCUGGGAAACUGCCUGAUGGAGGGGGAUAACUACUGGAAACGGUGGCUAAUACCGCAUAACGUCGCAGGACCAAAGAGGGGGACCUUCGGGCCUCUUGCCAUCAGAUGUGCCCAGAUGGGAUUAGCUUGUUGGUGAGGUAACGGCUCACCAAGGCGACGAUCCCUAGCUGGUCUGAGAGGAUGACCAGCCACACUGGAACUGAGACACGGUCCAGACUCCUACGGGAGGCAGCAGUGGGGAAUAUUGCACAAUGGGCGCAAGCCUGAUGCAGCCAUGCCGCGUGUAUGAAGAAGGCCUUCGGGUUGUAAAGUACUUUCAGCGGGGAGGAAGGUGUUGUGGUUAAUAACCGCAGCAAUUGACGUUACCCGCAGAAGAAGCACCGGCUAACUCCGUGCCAGCAGCCGCGGUAAUACGGAGGGUGCAAGCGUUAAUCGGAAUUACUGGGCGUAAAGCGCACGCAGGCGGUCUGUCAAGUCGGAUGUGAAAUCCCCGGGCUCAACCUGGGAACUGCAUUCGAAACUGGCAGGCU